CUUUUACUAGUCUUCGCGACUGGAAUCAAAAAUGGGUUGUCUCCCCUCUGAUGAUCUUUUCUAUAGGUAGAACUACCGUGAGCGGAAAAGCAAACAUCUGAACUC